rnacentral:rRNA from 1 species
GCCAGACUCCUACGGGAGGCAGCAGUGGGGAAUAUUGCACAAUGGGGGAAACCCUGAUGCAGCGACGCCGCGUGAGUGAAGAAGUAAUUCGUUAUGUAAAGCUCUAUCAGCAGGGAAGAAGAUGACAGUACCUGAGUAAGAAGCCCCGGCUAACUACGUGCCAGCAGCCGCGGUAAUACGUAGGGGGCAAGCGUUAUCCGGAUUUACUGGGUGUAAAGGGAGCGUAGACGGUUGUAUAAGUCUGGAGUGAAAGCCCGGGGCCCAACCCCGGGACUGCUUUGGAAGCUGUGUAACUUGAGUACAGGAGGGGCAGGCGGAAUUCCUGGUGUAGCGGUGAAAUGCGUAGAUAUCAGGAGGAACACCGGCGGCGAAGGCGGCCUGCUGGACUGAAACUGACGUUGAGGCUCGAAAGCGUGGGGAGCAAACAGGAUUAGAUACCCUAGUAAU